rnacentral:rRNA from 1 species
UGAGGAAUAUUGGUCAAUGGGCGAGAGCCUGAACCAGCCAAGUAGCGUGCAGGAUGACGGCCCUAUGGGUUGUAAACUGCUUUUAUAUGGGAAUAAAGUGAGGGACGUGUCCCUUAUUGCAUGUACCAUACGAAUAAGGACCGGCUAAUUCCGUGCCAGCAGCCGCGGUAAUACGGAAGGUCCAGGCGUUAUCCGGAUUUAUUGGGUUUAAAGGGAGCGUAGGCUGUUUGUUAAGCGUGUUGUGAAAUGUAAGAGCUCGACUUUUAGAUUGCAGCGCGAACUGGCAGACUUGAGUGCGCACAACGUAGGCGGAAUUCAUGGUGUAGCGGUGAAAUGCUUAGAUAUCAUGACGAACUCCGAUUGCGAAGGCAGCUUACGGGAGCGCAACUGACGCUAAAGCUCGAAGGUGCGGGUAUCGAACAGG